CUGAUCCAGCAAUGCCGCGUGAGUGAAGAAGGCCUUCGGGUUGUAAAGCUCUUUUGUCAGGGAAGAAACAGCAGCUCUAACACAGUCUGCGAAUGACGGUACCUGAAGAAUAAGCACCGGCUAACUACGUGCCAGCAGCCGCGGUAAUACGUAGGGUGCAAGCGUUAAUCGGAAUUACUGGGCGUAAAGCGUGCGCAGGCGGUUAUGUAAGACAGGCGUGAAAUCCCCGGGCUUAACCUGGGAAUUGCGCUUGUGACUGCAUAGCUAGAGUAUGUCAGAGGGGGGUAGAAUUCCACGUGUAGCAGUGAAAUGCGUAGAGAUGUGGAGGAAUACCAAUGGCGAAGGCAGCCCCCUGGGAUAAUACUGACGCUCAUGCACGAAAGCGUGGGGAGCAAACAGGAUUAGAUACCCUGGUAGUCCACGCCCUAAACGAUGCUGACUAGUUGUUCGGGAAUUUAUUCCUGAGUAACGUAGCUAACGCGUGAAGUCAGCCGCCUGGGGAGUACGGUCGCAAGAUUAAAACUCAAAGGAAUUGACGGGGACCCGCACAAGCGGUGGAUGAUGUGGAUUAAUUCGAUGCAACGCGAAAAACCUUACCUACCCUUGACAUGCCACUAACGAAGUAGAGAUACAUUAGGUGCCCGUAAGGGAAAGUGGACACAGGUGCUGCAUGGCUGUCGUCAACUCGUGUCGUGAGAUGUUGGGUUAAGUCCCGCAACGAGCGCAACCCUUGUCUUUAGUUGCUACGCAAGAGCACUCUAAAGAGACUGCCGGUGACAAACCGGAGGAAGGUGGGGAUGACGUCAAGUCCUCAUGGCCCUUAUGGGUAGGGCUUCACACGUCAUACAAUGGUGCAUACAGAGGGUUGCCAACCCGCGAGGGGGAGCUAAUCUCAGAAAAUGCAUCGUAGUCCGGAUCGUAGUCUGCAACUCGACUACGUGAAGCUGGAAUCGCUAGUAAUCGCGGAUCAGAAUGUCGCGGUGAAUACGUUCCCGGGUCUUGUACACACCGCCCGUCACACCAUGGGAGUGGGUUUUGCCAGAAGCCGUUAGCCUAACCGCAAGGAGGGCGACGACCACGGCAGGGUUCAUGACUGGGGUGAAGUCGUAACAAGGU
rnacentral:rRNA from 1 species